UUGAACGCUGGCGGCAUGCCUUACACAUGCAAGUCGAACGGCAGCACGGGGGCAACCCUGGUGGCGAGUGGCGAACGGGUGAGUAAUAUAUCGGAACGUGCCCUGGAGUGGGGGAUAACUAGUCGAAAGACUAGCUAAUACCGCAUACGAUCUAAGGAUGAAAGUGGGGGAUCGCAAGACCUCAUGCUCGUGGAGCGGCCGAUAUCUGAUUAGCUAGUUGGUAGGGUAAAAGCCUACCAAGGCAUCGAUCAGUAGCUGGUCUGAGAGGACGACCAGCCACACUGGGACUGAGACACGGCCCAGACUCCUACGGGAGGCAGCAGUGGGGAAUUUUGGACAAUGGGGGCAACCCUGAUCCAGCAAUGCCGCGUGAGUGAAGAAGGCCUUCGGGUUGUAAAGCUCUUUUGUCAGGGAAGAAACGGUCCGGGCUAAUAUCCUGGGCUAAUGACGGUACCUGAAGAAUAAGCACCGGCUAACUACGU
rnacentral:rRNA from 1 species